rnacentral:pre_miRNA from 1 species
CACGUGGUCUUGUCACAAUUUCCACUAGUACCACGUGGUCUUGUCACAAAUUGAGACAAGACCACGUGGUACUAGUGGAAAUUGAGACAGGACCACG